rnacentral:rRNA from 1 species
GCUCAUACCACGUGGAUAACUACCUUGGGUCGGCAUAAGCCGGGAAGCUGGUAUAAUCCGAUAGAUCUAGAGCGGAAUGCACUCUGAUCGAAAGCUCCGGCACCCAAGRAUGGGUCUGCGGCCUAUCAGGUUGUAGUGGGUGUAAUGUACCUACUAGCCUACUACGGGUACGGGUUGUGAGAGCAAGAGCCCGGAGAUGGAUUCUGAGACACGAAUCCCAGGCCCUACGGGGUGCAGCAGGCGCGAAACCCUUACAAUGCGGGCAACCGCGAUAAGGGGACCUCGAGUGCCGGCAUACAAUGUCGGCUGUCGUGAUGCCUAAAAAGCAUUAUAUAGCAAGGGCCGGGCAAGACCGGUGCCAGCCGCCGCGGUAACACCGGCGGCUCGAGUGGUGACCGCUAUUAUUGGGUUUAAAGGGUCUGUAGCCGGCCGGAUAAGUCUCUUGGGAAAUCUGGCCGCUUAACGGUCAGGCUUUCAGGAGAUACUGUCUGGCUCGAGGCCGGGAGAGGUGAGAGGUACUUCAGGGGUAGGGGUGAAAUCUUGUAAUCCUUGGAGGACCACCAGUGGCGAAGGCGUCUCACCAAAACGGACCUGACGGCAAGGGACGAAAGCUAGGGGCACGAACCGGAUUAGAUACCCGGGUAGUCCUAGCCGUAAACGAUACUCGCUAGGUGUCGGCCGCGGUGCGACCGUGGUCGGUGCCGUAGGGAAACCGUGAAGCGAGCCACCUGGGAAGUACGGGCCGCAAGGCUGAAACUUAAAGGAAUUGGCGGGGGAGCACCACAACGGGUGGAGCUUGCGGUUUAAUUGGAUUCAACGCCGGGGAGCUUACCGGGAUCGACAGCAAUCUGAAAGCAAGCCUGAAGACCUUGCUGGAUUACCUGAGAGGUGAUGCAUGGCCGUCGUCAGUUCGUACUGUGAAGCAUCCUGUUAGAUCAGGCAACGAGCG